UAGCAACUAAGAAUACUAGGCAGGCUUUCCGUUGACCAGUGAGACAGUGGGGGAUAAGCUUCAUUGUCGAGAGGGAAACAGCCCAGACCACCAGUUAAGGCCCCAAAAUGACCGCUAAGUGUUAAAGGAGGUGAGAAUGCUGAAACAACCAGGAGGUUUGCUUAGAAGCAGCCACCCUUUAAAGAGUGCGUAAUAGCUCACUGGUAAAGCGUUCUUGCGCCGAAAAUGAACGGGACUAAGCGGUCUGCCGAAGCUGUGGGUAACCUAGUAAUAUUACACGUGUUGUGCUUGCUUGUCACGCUUCCUUUGGACGCGAAGCUGUCACAUACAUUGGUUUUAAACCAGGUUACGGUAGGGGAGCGUUCCGCUGUAGGGUGAAGCAGUAAUGUGAGUUGCUGUGGACAAAGCGGAAGUGAGAAUGUCGGCUUGAGUAACGCAAACAUUGGUGAGAAUCCAAUGCCCCGAAAACCUAAGGGUUCCUUCACUAGGUUCGUCCAUGGAGGGUGAGUCAGGGCCUAAGGCGAGGCCGAAAGGCGUAGCCGAUGGGAAACGGAUUAAUAUUCCCGUACUAAUUUGUAGUUAACACCGAGGGACGAAGGAGGCUAAAGUUAGUCAGUAGUGGAUGCUGUCGGAAAUCUUCGAGGCUUUGAGAGGUAGAAAAGAAACUGUCCUUGAGCUGAGAGGUUAUACACCUCUAUUUGUAGUGUAUGUGAGGAUUAUCUGUUACCAGGUAAAUCACAAAAGCGGGAUAGUUGUUAACUUGAUGUCACACUUCCUAGAAAAGCUCGAACUGUGCGUUAUGUGUUCCAUAACUUCUAUAAAUUACCUGUACCCGAAACCGACACAGGUAGGUAGGUAGAGUAUACCUAGGGGCGCGAGAUAACUCUCUCUAAG
rnacentral:rRNA from 1 species